UGGGGAAUAUUGGACAAUGGGCGCAAGCCUGAUCCAGCAAUGCCGCGUGUGUGAAGAAGGCCUUCGGGUUGUAAAGCACUUUUAUCAGGAGCGAAACGCUGUCGGCUAAUACCCGGCGGAACUGACGGUACCUGAGGAAUAAGCACCGGCUAACUUCGUGCCAGCAGCCGCGGUAAUACGAAGGGUGCAAGCGUUAAUCGGAAUUACUGGGCGUAAAGCGUGCGUAGGCGGUUUCUUAAGUCUGCUGUGAAAUCCCCGGGCUCAACCUGGGAAUGGCAGCGGAUACUGGGAGGCUAGAGUGUGUCAGAGGGUGGUGGAAUUCCCGGUGCAGCGGUGAAAUGCGUAGAGAUCGGGAGGAACAUCAGUGGCGAAGGCGGCCACCUGGGACAACACUGACGCUGAGGCACGAAAGCGUGGGGAGCAAACAGGAUUAGAUACCCUGGUAGUCCACGCCCUAAACGAUGCGAACUGGAUGUUGGUCUCAACUCGGAGAUCAGUGUCGAAGCUAACGCGUUAAGUUCGCCGCCUGGGGAGUACGGUCGCAAGACUGAAACUCAAAGGAAUUGACGGGGUCAUAGCUGUUUCCUG
rnacentral:rRNA from 1 species